UACGUAGGGGGCAAGCGUUGUCCGGAAUUAUUGGGCGUAAAGAGCGCGUAGGCGGUCCGAUAAGUCGGCUGUGAAAGUCUAGGGCUCAACCUCGGAAUUGCCUUUGAUACUGUCAAUCUCGAGUCCGGGAGAGGUGAGUGGAAUUCCUAGUGUAGAGGUGAAAUUCGUAGAUAUUAGGAAGAACACCAGUGGCGAAGGCGGCUCACUGGCCCGGAACUGACGCUCAUGAGCGAAAGCGUGGGGAGCAAACAGGG
rnacentral:rRNA from 1 species